UCUCGAUCUCUUUCCUUAGCUACAGAAACAAUCCGUGCAUCGACUAAUAUCGUUCUCACGUUCUAUUAGAGGAGAAUCACAAUUCGAACGAAAGACGCGUGUGAUUUAGUUUUACAGCUGCGAACCCGUGUUCUGUUUCAGUAGGAAAAUGAAAGUAACCUUGACCGUUGUCCCUGCUUGUGAAGUUGUCUUUUUCAAAAGGAGAAGCUCGUGUUUGUGUGUGUGUUUUUUCCCCCCUCUCUUUCUUUAAUUUUUGGUUCUUUUUCCUUGUCAUCGAGUUCUUGCUCCAGAUUUCGAACAAAAGAAAAAAAAAAGGUUCUUGCUUCAGAAGAAUUUGAAUGUGUCGUUCGUCAGGGUUGUGAUUCUCCUUUAGUGGCGUGCGAAUGAUGACAGCCGAUGAGAGGGUUUCUCUGUGUCUAAGAGACUGAGAACGAGACGUGAGUUUUUGAUCGAUUCAUGUUUCGCCGCGAUUCAUCAUGCAGCGACGGAGCUCGCGAACUUUGAUCUCGAACUUAGAAAACCCCUAAGUUGCGAACCUACAUUUUUGUCCCUUUUCUUCUUUUGGUUGAAAAGUUUUGUACUUUAGCUCUUUUCUCGCCGGAUUGUGCGCGUAACGCUUAGGGAAGAUGAUUUACGAUCUUUCCUUUCAUAUGGGUAAGAUGCUUUACGUUUGUGAGCUCCAUGGCUGUUUAAUCUGAUUUACUUGGACUUGCUGCAUUUAUCUAUCUGUGGUUGUAGCGAACUUGAUUGUUCAAAGGAGUUCAGCAGAUAGAAUGGUUAAGAGAUGACACCUAAAGGUUAUAUAUUUGACGCUUUUUGGAAAAAGCAGUUUACAAUUUAAGUAAACCACUAGGCUCCAUUGAGUAGAGCUGAUUUCUCUUUUUCCCUCCUCAUCAUGUGCUUGCGAGGAAGCAGCUGAACAUUUCCCAUUUAUCUAUUUGUCCCCUAUUUCUAACUGAGCACUUGGGUUGAUGUGAAGUGCUUGUGAAGAAAUCUUGAAUGAGACGCUAUCAAGAUGCUUUUGUCAUCAAUCGAGGCAUCUCUGCCAAUUUUCUAUGCUUCUCUCUGGCUGCGCAAUGAAAAAUCUGGUUGAUAUGUGCAUGUAAGGUUGGAGAGUCUGUCACAUCUUUAAGAGUAUUUGUAGCUUUUUAAUUUCUCUGGAGUCUCUCUUGCAGGAAAUCUUUGAGGCAUCAUGCUGUAAACUCUCCUUUUGUUUUCUUUCCUUUACUCUUUUCAUGGCCUCUUAUGUUGGAAAUGCAUGUGCCAUUCUGGCUUCACUUGAAUGAGUAAUAAUUAUUUAUUUAUUUUUUGUAUUGUAUCACUUUGAAACGAUGAGCUUCAAGAUCUUUCGCUCCGAGUAGAAGAUUAUAAGAUGAGAUUUCUCCUUGGGUAAUGGUCAAAUGUACUUCUUCCUUCUCUUGGUGAGCAUACACGAGCCCUGCUUGUUUUCAAUGUUACGAGGGUGCUGUCCUUCUACUGGUUGCCCAUGUCCACUCCAUGGUGGAAGGAGGGACUCUAGUAUGUGUUCUGAUUCAGUUCACCAAUUUGUGCCGUUACUUUUAAAAUUAGACCCUCGGGACUGAUUUAUGUUGUUUGGAAACUCAAAAGGAGUUGACAUCAUUGCCAAAGGGAUGAGACCAGACUGUAGCUAGCCUUGGUUGGUUAUGGGUUUCAUAUUUGAAGAUACACCCUUAUGGCAAAUGAACAUAUGUUUGUCCUCUUGGAGUUUCAGGUGCAGGAGUCCACAUGUCCGUCCUCUUGGAGUUUCGCGUGCAGGAGUGCACGCACGAGAGUUUAGCCGAAUUGUAUCCAUCCGAGUAUCGGUAACCCUUAUUGUUCGGUUGCGUGACUCCUGUUGAAUUCGAGAAUCGACACUGAAGUGUCAUCGCAGGAGAUUCCAGGAUGAUGUCUCUUCUGUCUUAUUACCUGGAUUGGAGCAGUGCUGGUUUACGACAUUCUUGAUAUACAAAAGGAAGAGG